CCUUGCCAUGAUGCACUUUGUAUUAUUCCUGUUAAUGUUAAACAAAGUAAAGAACUAGCGAUAUAAACAUACGCUACAGGCAUUGGACACAUGUUCUCUGGUUUGCAUGCUUAUGGGUCAGUUUCUAUAAGUAUUUGUGGCUACUAUAAUAUAGCUACUGUCUCUUUUCAAAACCAUUGAAAAAAGACAGUUAUCGUUGCCCGUAGAAAAUAUUUCAUCUUAGAUGUUUAUGUAUUUAUUCUCAAAGCAUGGAUAAACAAUACAGGUAAAGAAUGAAAG